UAGGGAAUCUUCGGCAAUGGGGGGAACCCUGACCGAGCAACGCCGCGUGAGUGAAGAAGGUUUUCGGAUCGUAAAGCUCUGUUGUUAAGGAAGAACGAGUGUGAGAAUGGAAAGUUCAUGCUGUGACGGUACUUAACCAGAAAGGGACGGCUAACUACGUGCCAGCAGCCGCGGUAAUACGUAGGUCCCGAGCGUUGUCCGGAUUUAUUGGGCGUAAAGCGAGCGCAGGCGGUUAGACAAGUCUGAAGUGAAAGUCAGUUGCUCAACCAUUGUAGGCUUUGGAAACUGUUUAACUUGAGUGCAAAAGGGGAGAUUGGAAUUCCAUGUGUAGCGGUGAAAUGCGUAGAUAUAUGGAGGAACACCGGUGGCGAAAGCGGCUCUCUGGUCUGUAACUGACGCUGAGGCUCGAAAGCGUGGGGAGCGAACAGG
rnacentral:rRNA from 1 species